rnacentral:rRNA from 1 species
UCUGCCCGAUGGAGGGGGAUAACUACUGGAAACGGUGGCUAAUACCGCAUAAUGUCUCAGGAGCAAAGAGGGGGACCUUCGGGCCUCGUGCCAUCGGAUGUGCCCAUAUGGGAUUAGCUAGUAGGUGGGGUAAUGGCUCACCUAGGCGACGAUCCCUAGCUGGUCUGAGAGGAUGAUCAGCCACACUGGGACUGAGACACGGUCCAGACUCCUACGGGAGGCAGCAGUGGGGAAUAUUGCACAAUGGGCGCAAGCCUGAUGCAGCCAUGCCGCGUGUAUGAAGAAGGCCCUCGGGUUGUAAAGUACUUUCAGUCGGGAGGAAGGCGUUUGAUGCUAAUAUCCAUCAACGAUUGACGUUACUCGACAGAAGAAGCACCGGCUAACUCCGUGCCAGCAGCCGCGGUAAUACGGAGGGUGCAAGCGUUAAUCGGAAUUACUGGGGCGUAAAGCGCACGCAGGCGGUCUGAUUAAGUUAGAUGUGAAAUCCCCGGGCUCUACCUGGGAACUGCAUCCUAGACUGGCCAGCUAGAGUCUUGUAGAGGGGGGGUAGAAUUCCAUGUGUAGCGGUGAAAUGCGUAGAGAUCUGGAGGAAUACCGGUGGCGAAGCGGCCCCCCUGGACCAAGACUGACGCUCAGGUGCGAAAGCGUGGG